UACAGAGGGGGCAAGCGUUGUUCGGAAUUACUGGGCGUAAAGGGCGCGUAGGCGGCCUGCUAAGUCGAACGUGAAAUCCCCGGGCUCAACCCGGGAACUGCGUCCGAUACUGACAGGCUUGAAUCCGGGAGAGGUGAGUGGAACUGCGAGUGUAGAGGUGAAAUUCGUAGAUAUUCGCAAGAACACCAGUGGCGAAGGCGGCUCACUGGCCCGGUACUGACGCUGAGGUGCGAAAGCGUGGGGAGCAAACAGG
rnacentral:rRNA from 1 species